AUGUCACGGCCUGAUACCGCAAAUCAGAAGCUGAUCGCUACUCUCACAAUGCUUGUUAGUUGGACCACCCGAAACGAGAGGAAUGCUAGAGUUUUUAGAAAAAAAACGACGCUGCCUUUCUACAUCCUAAAGCUUAUUCAAGACGAGGCCAAACUUUAGGUUACCACGGGGGCUAAGCACUUGAGCAAGAUCAUACAACGUGAGUAA
rnacentral:rRNA from 1 species